rnacentral:tRNA from 1 species
GAGGUUGUGGCUCAGUGGUAGAGCUCUCGCUUCACAUGUGUGAUGUCCUGGGUUCGAUCCUCAGCACCACA